rnacentral:snRNA from 1 species
AUCUUUUCGCUUGGGGCAAUGAAGCAGCUAGUGAGGUAAAACCGAGGCGCGUCAUUUGCUGGUUGAAAACUAUUUCCAACGCCCCUCGGCGGCCUGGGAAACGCCUUGGCUUUCGAGAAUUUUUUGAGGGCUCGCCUUUGGC